rnacentral:rRNA from 1 species
GACGAACGCUGGCGGCGUGCCUAAUACAUGCAAGUAGAACGCUGAAGGAGGAGCUUGCUCUUCUGGAUGAGUUGCGAACGGGUGAGUAACGCGUAGGUAACCUGCCUGGUAGCGGGGGAUAACUAUUGGAAACGAUAGCUAAUACCGCAUAAUAGUAGAUGUCGCAUGAUAUUUACUUAAAAGGUGCAAUUGCACCACUACCAGAUGGACCUGCGUUGUAUUAGCUAGUUGGUGGGGUAACGGCUCACCAAGGCGACGAUACAUAGCCGACCUGAGAGGGGGGUCGGCCACACUGGGACUGAGACACGGCCCAGACUCCUACGGGAGGCAGCAGUAGGGAAUCUUCGGGAAUGGACGAAAGUCUGACCGAGCAACGCCGCGGGAGGGAAGAAGGUUUUCGGAUCGGAAAGCUCUGUUGUAAGAGAAGAACGAGUGUGAGAGUGGAAAGUGCACACUGUGACGGUAUCUUACCAGAAAGGGACGGCUAACUACGUG